rnacentral:rRNA from 2 species
GUAGGKGAACCUGCGGAAGGAUCAUUG